UCCCCAACCAGGGAUUGAACCCACACACCAUGCAUCCAGCGUUGUAAACACUAGAUCACCAGGGAAGUCCUGAGACAAGUGUCCACCAACCUGAGGAUGAGGCACAAGGGUUUUCAUCCUUCUCUUGGGGAUCCCCCAGAUGUGCAGUGGCUUCUGCAGGUGGCUGUGAAAUUCUCAAGACCAAAGUCAUUUGAAUUCAUUCUCAUCUUUUUAAAGCAAUCAGUGCAAUAUCAGAAAGUCCUCUGGAGGAGCCAAGGGAAUGGAGAGCUGUCACAAAUUUGAAAGAUUCUUCCUUGUCUUAGUCGUCAUAUUUGAUGGACAAAUUCACAUAAUUCAUUCAUUUCGACAAACACCCAGCAGGCGCCCAUUUCUGUGCGGUGACCCCCUCCCUGCAGGCAGGAAUCUGGCAGGUCCCUGGCCCGGCAAGGUCUCAGUUGCAGUUUAGGAGGCAGGUGAUCGUCAGGGUGUGUGAACUAGUGUGUGUGAAAAAUAGUGUGUGACGACUAACAGAGGGGCUGCCCGCAUAGGGGGCGAACACUGCCUUGGGGUGUCAGGAAAAUACGUGGGGAGAUUGGGAGCAAUUCACCAGGAUCUGAAAAGGAGAAGUGGGGGGAAAGAUGGCGGGCACAGAGCCGCAGAGCCGUGGGGAAAGGAGGCCCCUUGGAGAGCCGGCUUCCGCAGGCUGGACCUCACCCUGGGGGCCCGGCUGAGGUCAACCAUAGGAUGCCAGUGCUUUGCCCGGUCCAAGAGCUUUCCUGGCCCUUUCCUAGUGAGAUUUCUUCUGCACCGCACACUGGGUCAAUGAACAUAUGUCUGAUCAGCACCGCCACGGGUAUGUGGCCUUCGAAGUCACCGACGUCAUCCUCUUUGGAAGGCUAAAAAUAACUCACCCAUCUGCUGCCUCCAUCUCACCUGCCCAGACAGAAGGCGGCCAGGUGGGCCGCAUCAGAAGCAGGACUUGGCAGAGGAGGGAGGACUCUGGCAGCUCUGCGGUUUGAUCAACUACCCACCGACUUCCAAGCGUAUCCGAAGGCGAGAGUCUUGCCACACGAAGAUAUGAGCCCAGAGGAUCAUCCAAAGGAGAGGAGAAGAGAGUGGGUGCUUACUGAGUGUCCACUCUCCAUCAGCCCGGGGUCAGCCGCUUCGUGGAUGUCACCAUCAUCUCUGUAUGAAGAGGAACCCAGGCUGCCCAUCCCACGACUGGAAGGUUUGAAGUCAACCCCAUUCCCCCCCCCCGACCCGUGGGCACACACACCAACACCCCCUGCGGCUUCCUGGUUCCCCGCUCCGCCCCCUCACCUGCACUAUCUCAGCCGCUGGGUUUGGAGGGGCCUCAUUCUGGGCUGCAAGCCCUCCUUUUCUCACAGCUGCUCCGGCGGGAGCUGUCAGCACCGGCCCACGCGGGAGUGGGUGUUUGCAAACGUUCGGAAUGACCUUCCUUUAAUGACAGUAGCAAACGGAUCCUUGAACAGGUAACAUAUGUUCCUAGAGAUGCUACUGUUCAUCUGCUUUUUAGAAAUUAUCACCCCCGAGUCAUCUCUGUAUGUCCAGUCUUCUUAUCUCUCCAGUCUCCUAACUAUGCCCUAUUCAAGGACAUGAGCGUUCAGUCUGGUCUUUGGCGUGAAACAUGAAAGAAAGGUGAAGGAAUUGGAGCUUAAAGAUGAUAUAACUUGGGACUUCCCUGGUGGUCCAGGGGUUUAGAAUCUGUCUUCCAAUGAACGGGAUGCGGGUUUGAUCCCUGGCUGGGGAACUAAGAUCCCACAUGCCGCAGGACAAGAAAGUCUGUGUGCUGAGACUAGAGAAGCCUAGGAGGUGAAACGGAGACCCAGGAGGUGAAGCAACCUGCCCAGAGCCACACAGAUGGGACACGGCAGAGCCGAGAUCCAAGCCCAGGCUGGUCUGCUUCUGCCACCCUUGCUUCUAGCCACCGCCGAUGCUGCCUCCCUCUGUACGUCUGAUGUCGAAUUGUCAGGAGCACCAGGCGCUUGCUUCAGAAACCACAGCUACUCAAGGAAGGAGUCCACACCUCCCAAUCGCCAUCCUCUCCAGGAGACAGACCCUUGCUCCUCUCCCAGCAAUCUCUCCCCACUCCCCUUUAUUCCUGAAUAGGCAGAUUGGUCCACAGCCUGCCAGGUUAUCUGUGACUCUAUUAUUGCCAGUGUUGUGAUGCCCCAGAGAGGACAGAUACAGGCUCCUUGAGAGCAAGGAUCAUUUAUCCCCUUCAGAUCUCUCUCCUCAGCUAGUGGGGCAUUUACUAAGUGCCUGAUUAAAAACAGUCACCCCUGGUCUCUUGGUGGUAGGAGGCAGGGGAUGGGUAGGAGGCUUGGUUCCAGGAUCCCUGAGGAUACCAAAAUCCAAGGAUGCCCAGGUCCCUUAUGUAAAAUGGCAUAGUAUUUGUGUAUAGUCUAUACACAUCUUCCCUCAUACUUUAAAUAGUCUCUAGAUUACUUAGAAAACCUAAUAAAAUAUAAAUGCUAUGUAAA